rnacentral:rRNA from 1 species
GAAUCCGCUAAGGAGUGUGUAACAACUCACCUGCCGAAUGAAUUAGCCCUGAAAAUGGAUGGCGCUGAAGCGGGCAGCCGACACCGCGCCGUUCCGGCGAGACGUUGCCGGGAUGAGUAGGAGGGCGUGGCGGUCAGUGAAGCAGGCGAGGGUGCAAACCCCGCUGAAACGGCCGCUAGUGCAGAUCUUGGUGGUAGUAGCAAAUAUUCAAGCGAGAUCCUUGAAGGGCGAAGCGGGGAAGGGUUCCACGCCAACAUUGAUUGGGCGUGGGUGAGUCGUUCCUAAGCCGAGUGGCAAUUGCUAAGUAGCGGCGAAAGGGAAGCGGGUUAAAAUUCCCGCACACAGAUAUGGAGGCGGCGACGCAAGCUGAGGCGAAUACGCUGGCGAGGGCGCCGGGCAGAGUUGUCUUUUCUGUUUGACCGGCAUCGAGCUGUGUGGAAUCCGCUUAUCGGGAGAAACACGCUCGGGUAGGGGCAGAGCGUCAGGUCUUUUCUGGCGUCCGGCUCGCCCUCGACGGCCCUUGAAAAUUCGUCCGCGAGCUUAAAUUUCAUGCUGUGACGUACCGAUAACCGCAUCAGGUCCCCAAGGUGAACAGCCUCUGCUCAAUAUGAACAAUGCAGGUAAGGGAAGUCGGCA